rnacentral:lncRNA from 1 species
GAAAUUAUCGUGUUGCUAUUCAUUAUUGCUAAUAUUCUCGCCUAUUAAGGAAACAAACGAUCGUUUAUCAAAGAUUCUCGUAACUCACAAAAUACCCAAUUCAAAGUACGAAAACAAAGAAAACUGCUGAAACCUCACAUUGAUUGUUACUUACCUGAUAGCCUUCUGACCAGUGACUAACAACAAAAUUUUCAUUAAUCCCGUAUUCCCCCACAACUCCGAUUAGCAAAAUAAAAUAAAACGAAAAAGAACGAAGAAGAAGAUAGAAGUGAUGAAGAAGAAAGAAAUAAAAAAGAUUAAAGAAGAAAUAAAAAAUAUUAAAGAAGAAAGAACUAACGUUAAUUAAAUUCCUAACUUCCAAGCAGAUUUCUAACAUUUGAAAAAAAUUUUCCUUAUCGUCCCCUUCGGGACUCAAACACGGG